GAGCGCACAGUCUGGCGCACGCCACAGACCACGCCGCUCCCGCGCACUGUCCUGUUUUCUCGUCGCUCCGCCGAGGGUCCAUACAGCCUCACCGCCGCAUGCAGAUGUCGCUGCCGCCGCCCCGUCAUCUCGACGUCCGGCGCUGCGCCGUACCGCUAGUCCGCCGGCACCAUCGCCUUCGCCGCUGCCUCCGUCGAUACACGACGUUGAUGUGGAUCUGUCACCGAAGAACUACCGACGCCGUCACUGAUGCAGCGCGGAUGAGUUGAGCACAAGUAAAUGAAGCACCAAGGCGCACGAGGAUUCGCAUUUGGAACAGAGGUGUGCUGAUUCAGUAACAUUAACGACGUUAGGAAGUUCCAUAAGGAAACACGUAAGAGUGCAAGCAACAGUUUAAACAGAUACGAGGAAACAGUUUUUUUGUAACAAGAGUCAAGAAGCAGUGACAACAUGAGAUGUAAAGACGAAUCAGUACCCUCAGAGGAGGCAGAUACUUUUGAAGUACCUUCACAAGUUCCAGAGUUUGAGAAAUAAAAGAUAGGAGGAAGUUGCA